rnacentral:rRNA from 1 species
UAACACAUGCAAGUCGAGGGGUAACGACAGCGAAAGCUUGCUUUUGCUGGGCGACGACCGGCGCACGGGUGAGUAACGCGUAUCCAACCUGCCCAUAACUAAGGGAUAAUCCGUAGAAAUGCGGUCUAAUACCUUAUGUGUUCCGACGAAGACAUCUGAAUUGGAAUAAAGAUUUAUCGGUUAUGGAUGGGGAUGCGUCUGAUUAGAUUGUUGGCGGGGCAACGGCCCACCAAGUCUACGAUCAGUAGGGGUUCUGAGAGGAAGGUCCCCCACAUUGGAACUGAGACACGGUCCAAACUCCUACGGGAGGCAGCAGUGAGGAAUAUUGGUCAAUGGGCGAGAGCCUGAACCAGCCAAGUAGCGUGCAGGAAGACGGCCCUAUGGGUUGUAAACUGCUUUUGUAUGGGAAUAAAGUGCUCCACGUGUGGAGUUUUGUAGGUACCAUACGAAUAAGGACCGGCUAAUUCCGUGCCAGCAGCCGCGGUAAUACGGAAGGUCCGGGCGUUAUCCGGAUUUAUUGGGUUUAAAGGGAGCGUAGGCCGUGGAUUAAGUGUGUUGUGAAAUGUAGGCGCUCAACGUCUGACUUGCAGCGCAUACUGGUCCACUUGAGUGCGCGCAACGCGGGCGGAAUUUGUCGUGUAGCGGUGAAAUGCUUAGAUAUGACGAAGAACCCCGAUUGCGAAGGCAGCUCGCGGGAGCGCAACUGACGCUGAAGCUCGAAAGUGCGGGUAUCGAACAGGAUUAGAUACCCUGGUAGUCCGCACGGUAAACGAUGGAUGCCCGCUUUUCGGUCAUUAGACCGUGAGGCCAAGUGAAAACAUUAAGCAUCCCACCUGGGGAGUACGCCGGCAACGGUGAAACUCAAAGGAAUUGACGGGGGCCCGCACAAGCGGAGGAACAUGUGGUUUAAUUCGAUGAUACGCGAGGAACCUUACCCGGGCUUGAAUUGCAGAUGAAGGAUCCAGAGAUGGUGACGCCCUUCGGGGCAUCUGUGAAGGUGCUGCAUGGUUGUCGUCAGCUCGUGCCGUGAGGUGUCGGCUCAGUGCCAUAACGAGCGCA